AAGCAUGUCUUACGAAACAAGGUCAAGGGUCAGCAAGUCAUAGGAAGUGCCAAAACCAAGGAGAAUCUUGACCAGUUGUUGCUGACAUUCUGCAUAGACUAUCAGAAGUUCUCGGGAUCUGUCACUCCUGCACUUGUGAACUACCUAGUGAACGUGGUCCACAAGCACCUGUUUGCUACCAUCACCAACUGCAUGAAGAGAAAUGACUCAAAUCUGAACAAGAAGAACCCUAACUUGGUGGAGACACGUCUAGUACACCUGCAUAUGCGCGCACGAGUACGAGG